UUCCCCACAAUACAAGUGCAAUUGUCUCAGGAUAUUUUCCACCAUUGUCAGCCUUCUGCCUCUCAAUUAAUCUAUCCACCACAACUUUUGCACUCUGCAUUGCUGCUGUUGUAGGAAUGGCUUGUGGGUCCAGUGCAUGGAUAUUCUUUCCUGUUGGCAACACCUUUGGGUUUCUAAUUGGGUCACCACCAGGACCUGGCUCCACAUAUUUGCCCUCUAAAGCUUGUUUCAGACUCCCUAACUCAUUAUCAG
rnacentral:misc_RNA from 1 species